rnacentral:misc_RNA from 1 species
GAUGAAGAACGCAGCGAAAUGCGAUAAGUAGUGUGAAUUGCAGAAUUCCGUGAAUCAUCGAAUCUUUGAACGCACAUUGCGCCUUCUGGUAUUCCGGAAGGCAUGCCUGUUCGAGAGUCAUUAACAUCCGUUUCGAUCCCUUUCUUUCAGAAAUUACAAAGAGGAAAAGGGUUUGGUUAUGGUGGAGGAGGGAAAGGGAGCGUUUAGCCUGUAAAAAAAGAGGCUGUGUUCCGCCUCCCCCCCAAAAUUGUACAGGCGGUCGUGUGCGCCCACGCAUCGAGGUGUUGUAAAAGCUGCCACGGCACUUUUCACCUGUGCAGUGCGAGAUUGGCCAGCCGGUUUAAAAACCCCUCCAAACAAUCAAAGGUUGACCUCGGAUCAGGUAGGGAUACCCGCUGAACUUAAGCAUAUCAAUAAGCGGAGGA